rnacentral:rRNA from 1 species
GGCGAACGGGUGAGUAAUACAUCGGAACAUUUCCAGUAGCGGGGGAUAACCUGUCGAAAGAUAGGCUAAUACCGCAUACGCCCCACGGGGGAAAGCGGAGGACCGCAAGGCUUCGCACUAUUGGAGUGGCCGAUGUCGGAUUAGCUAGUUGGCGGGGUAACGGCCCACCAAGGCGACGAUCCGUAGCUGGUCUGAGAGGACGAUCAGCCACACUGGAACUGAGACACGGUCCAGACUCCUACGGGAGGCAGCAGUGGGGAAUUUUGGACAAUGGGCGCAAGCCUGAUCCAGCCAUGCCGCGUGAGUGAAGAAGGCCUUCGGGUUGUAAAGCUCUUUCGGUGGGGACGAAAAGGUUCGUGCUAAUACUACGAACUAAUGACGGUACCCGAAGAAGAAGCACCGGCUAACUACGUGCCAGCAGCCGCGGUAAUACGUAGGGUGCAGGCGUUAAUCGGAAUUACUGGGCGUAAAGCGUGCGCAGGCGGUUUGUUAAGACAGAUGUGAAAUCCCCGGGCUUAACCUGGGAACUGCGUUUGUAACUGGCAAGCUAGAGUGUGGCAGAGGGGGGUGGAAUUCC